UGGAUUUGGCAUUAGGACCUGACACAGGCC
rnacentral:piRNA from 1 species